GACGAACGCUGGCGGCGUGCCUAAUACAUGCAAGUUGAGCGCUGAAGGUUGGUACUUGUACCGACUGGAUGAGCAGCGCACGGGUGAGUAACGCGUGGGGAAUCUGCCUUUGAGCGGGGGACAACCUUUGGAAACGAAUGCUAAUACCGCAUAAAAUCUUUAAACACAAGUUUUAAGUUUGAAAGAUGCAAUUGCAUCACUCAAAGAUGAUCCCGCGUUGUAUUAGCUAGUUGGUGAGGUAAAGGCUCACCAAGGCGAGGAUACAUAGCCGACCUGAGAGGGUGAUCGGCCACAUUGGGACUGAGACACGGCCCAAACUCCCUCGGGAGGGAGCAGUAGGGAAACGUCGGCAAGGGACGAAAGUCUGACCGAGCAACGCCGCGUGAGUGAAGAAGGGUGUCGGAUCGGAAAACUCGGUUGGUAGAGAAGAACGUUGGUGAGAGUGGAAAGCUCAGCAAGUGACGGUAACUACCCAGAAAGGGACGGCUAACUACGUG
rnacentral:rRNA from 1 species